rnacentral:rRNA from 1 species
GACUCUCGGCAACGGAUAUCUCGGCUCUCGCAUCGAUGAAGAAUGUAGCAAAAUGCGAUACCUGGUGUGAAUUGCAGAAUCCCGCGAACCAUCGAGUUUUUGAACGCAAGUUGCGCCCGAGGCCUUCCGGCCGAGGGCACGUCUGCCUGGGCGUCA